GGUUCCAUAGUGUAGUGGUUAGCACGUCUGCUUUACACGCAGAUGGUCCUGGGUUCGCGCCCUAGUGGAGCCA
rfam:Pteropus alecto contig93875, whole genome shotgun sequence.